GAGAGAUAAUGUAUGGUUGGAUUACUGGGCGAAUACUCCUAUGGCAGAUAGCUUUGCCUAGAUAUGCAAGCAAAAUGCUUCUCUGCCAAAGGAGAUUUGCCCCGCAAUUCAUCCAUGCAAAACAAUACAUCUUUC
rnacentral:pre_miRNA from 1 species